rnacentral:rRNA from 1 species
UACGUAGGGAGCGAGCGUUGUCCGGAAUUACUGGGUGUAAAGGGAGCGUAGGCGGGAAGACAAGUUGAAUGUAAAAUCUACCGGCUCAACCGGUAGCCGCGUUCAAAACUGUUUUUCUUGAGUGAAGUAGAGGUUGGCGGAAUUCCUAGUGUAGCGGUGAAAUGCGUAGAUAUUAGGAGGAACACCAGUGGCGAAGGCGGCCAACUGGGCUUUUACUGACGCUGAGGCUCGAAAGCGUGGGGAGCAAACAGGAUUAGAUACCC